UGACUAUGCCUUCUUCUGCUAGUUUCCCUCCAAUCUUUCAUUCUUCUUCUGCUCUGUAGCCUGUUUCCCUCCAAUCUUUCAUUAGUUGUUCUGACAUUGAACUAGUGAUAUUUUGCUUUGAUCUGUAAAUAUAGUGGAAUAGGUACAUACCUUUUUAGUAAAUAUGUUGGCCUGUUGUUGCGUACAAUGUUUGGUUUCAUUGGCAGCUUCAAUUCAUCUGAGAUUGCAUGAAAAUGGAAACACUGCAGCCUCAUGCCUUAAAAGUUGCAGCUACUUCACCUACUUCACACUUCUUGUACAACCCAAUGUUG
rnacentral:lncRNA from 1 species